UGGCUACCACAUCUACGGAAGGCAGCAGGCGCGCAAAUUACCCACUCCUAGAUCGGGGAGGUAGUGACGAAAAAUAACAAUACCGGACUCUAUGAGGCUCGGUAAUUGAAAUGAGUACAGUUUAAAAGCCUUAACGAGGAUCUAUUGGAGGGCAAGUCUGGUGCCAGCAGCCGCGGUAAUUCCAGCUCCAAUAGCGUAUAUUAAAGUUGUUGCAGUUAAAAAGCUCGUAGUUGGAUCUCGGGUACUAGCAUUCGGUACGCUUAAUUGCUGUUACUGUUUUGUCUAGUCCUAAUCAAUCGGUUGGCCAUUUAUGCCCUUUAUUGGGUGUUUUUGGUAGCCGAUACGUUUACUUUGAGAAAAUUAGAGUGCUUAAAGCAGGCUUUACGCCUGAAUAAUGUUGCAUGGAAUAACAGAAUAGGACCUCGGUUCUAUUUUGUUGGUUUUGUAGAGCAUUGAGGUAAUGAUUAAUAGGGACAGACGGGGGCAUUCGUACUGCGGUGUUAGAGGUGAAAUUCUUGGAUCGCCGCAGGACGAACAACUGCGAAAGCAUUUGCCAAGAAUGUUUUCAUUAAUCAAGAACGAAAGUUGGAGGUUCGAAGACGAUUAGAUACCGUCCUAGUUCCAACCAUAAACGAUGCCAACUAGCGAUUAGCUGCUGUUAAUUAAACGACACAGCUAGCAGCUUCCGGGAAACCAAAGUUUUUGGGUUCCGGGGGAAGUAUGGUUGCAAAGCUGAAACUUAAAGGAAUUGACGGAAGGGCACCACCAGGAGUGGAGCCUGCGGCUUAAUUUGACCCAACACGGGAAAUCUCACCCGGCCCGGACACUGUAAGGAUUGACAGAUUGAGAGCUCUUUCUUGAUUCGGUGGGUGGUGGUGCAUGGCCGUUCUUAGUUGGUGGAGCGAUUUGUCUGGUUAAUUCCGAUAACGAACGAGACUCUAGCCUGCUAAAUAGUACGCCGAUCUUUAGUCGGCGCGUACUUCUUAGAGGGACAAGUAGCGGUUAGCUACACGAAAUUGAGCAAUAACAGGUCUGUGAUGCCCUUAGAUGUUCGGGGCCGCACGCGCGCUACACUGAAGGGAUAAGCGUGUUCUUCCUGCUCCGAAAGGAGUGGGUAACCCGCUGAAACCCCUUCGUGAUUGGGAUCGGGGCUUGCAAUUAUUCUCCGUGAACGAGGAAUUCCCAGUAAGCGCGAGUCAUAAGCUCGCGUCGAUUACGUCCCUGCCCUUUGUACACACCGCCCGUCGCUACUACCGAUUGAAUGGUUUAGUGAGAUCCUCGGAUUUGUCCGGAAGUGGCCGCAAGGUUGCCUCUAGGUUCGGAGAAGACGAUCAAACUUGAUCAUUUAGAGGAAGUAAAAGUCGUAACAAGGUU
rnacentral:rRNA from 1 species